AGAUGAUCAAGCACAGUACAUGUAUUGUGUACUUUAUUUCAAUUAUUAUUACAUCAGCCCCACCUCAGAUCAUGAGGCAUUAGAUCCUGGAGGUUGAGGAUCCCUGCUGUAGCCUGGUGGAAAGAUGAACAACUCUGGAAUCUGCCCAUUCCUGGUGGCAAGGGUUUCAGUCCCACGCAUCUCUGUGGCACGCACCACUGCUGGGUGCACACACCUCUCUGGGCUUUCUUUGCCCACAGGGGUAUAUUCAGCCCAUGAACAGGCCAGGGAGCAUGUGCAAAGGUGGUGGGCCCCCUGGAGAGCAGCCCCCACCAAAGCCUCAGUUACCUAUAGAGGCAACUACUCUUAUUCGCUCUAUUGGUUUUCCUUCCUUCUGAUUCUCUUCCCUAUUCCUUACCAUGCUCCCCAGGACCACCUCCUGAAUGGACUGUUUGCACUCAAAUAUUUCUUUCAGGGUCUCCUUCCAUCGGGCAAAAGCUCCCUGACUCGCAUCACUGCUCUGCCACAGAGCAGCCACAGGUGCUUGGGCACAUCACUAUGAUCAUUAGAACCUCAGCAUCCUCCCCAGGAGGAUAAUAUAAGUAAAGCAAAUCUCACAAGAGAAUCGGGAAGGUUCCAUAAUAGUUUGAGAAAAUGAUUAAGAAUGGUACCUGGCAUAUAGCAGGCAUUCAGUAAAUGAUAAAUAAAAAAAUACCAAUUGAUAGCUCCUAAAAUUUCUUUGAGUCUAAAUCUAAUCUGACAGCUCUUUGCUCUAAAACCUUAGACUUCCUCUGGCUGAAUCUCCCUGGUUAUUUCAGGAAAUCUAAUUCCUUUAUUCAUUUAAUGUAUCUUUAGCAAAUAUUGACUUAACACCUAUUAUAUUGAAGACUUGGUGCUAUGGUAGAUAUAAAGAAUAAGAUGAGGUCACUAUCUCCAAGGAGAUAAGACAUAAUCACACAUAGCUAUGGUCUAAAGCAAAUUGUGAUAAGUGUGCUACUCUAUAGGCAGACCUCAUUGUAUUCUGCUCUGCUUUAUUGCACUUCACAGGUACUGCAUUUUUUGGUUUUGUUUUACAAAUUGAAGAUUUGUGGCAACCCUGUAUUAUAAGAUGAUGAUUAGGUUUUUUUGCAAUGAAGCUUUUAAAAAUUAAGGCAGAUGAGAGCAGAGGCUGUAAAUCACCCUCUGUACCAUGGCUCAUCAUAAAGGAUAUGGAGAGAAAUUAGAGAAGGCAGAGAAGGAAAAGCAGUGAUGAACAAGGCAGGGGUUGCUACAGAGUGAUUGAAGACAGGCAGGUAGUACGUGAGAAGCUGCUGGCAAUCCAGCUUGAUUUGGGCAUCCCAGAUGGAUGGAAAAACCAGCAGCCCAGCCUGCUGCUCUGCCUCAGGGUGUGUGACGGGGGGAAUGUAUGUACAGAGAACUUACUGGGAAUGUGCCUUUCAG
ensembl:lncRNA